rnacentral:rRNA from 1 species
ACCGUGAGGGAAAGGCGAAAAGAACCCCGGCGAGGGGAGUGAAAAAGAACCUGAAACCGUGUACGUACAAGCAGUGGGAGCACGCUUAGGCGUGUGACUGCGUACCUUUUGUAUAAUGGGUCAGCGACUUAUAUUCUGUAGCAAGGUUAACCGAAUAGGGGAGCCGAAGGGAAACCGAGUCUUAACUGGGCGUUAAGUUGCAGGGUAUAGACCCGAAACCCGGUGAUCUAGCCAUGGGCAGGUUGAAGGUUGGGUAACACUAACUGGAGGACCGAACCGACUAAUGUUGAAAAAUUAGCGGAUGACUUGUGGCUGGGGGUGAAAGGCCAAUCAAACCGGGAGAUAGCUGGUUCUCCCCGAAAGCUAUUUAGGUAGCGCCUCGUGAAUUCAUCUCCGGGGGUAGAGCACUGUUUCGGCAAGGGGGUCAUCCCGACUUACCAACCCGAUGCAAACUGCGAAUACCGGAGAAUGUUAUCACGGGAGACACACGGCGGGUGCUAACGUCCGUCGUGAAGAGGGAAACAACCCAGACCGCCAGCUAAGGUCCCAAAGUCAUGGUUAAGUGGGAAACGAUGUGGGAAGGCCCAGACAGCCAGGAUGUUGGCUUAGAAGCAGCCAUCAUUUAAAGAAAGCGUAAUAGCUCACUGGUCGAGUCGGCCUGCGCGGAAGAUGUAACGGGGCUAAACCAUGCACCGAAGCUGCGGCAGCGACGCUGAUGCGUUGUUGGGUAGGGGAGCGUUCUGUAAGCCUGUGAAGGUGUGCUGUGAGGCAUGCUGGAGGUAUCAGAAGUGCGAAUGCUGACAUAAGUAACGAUAAAGCGGGUGAAAAGCCCGCUCGCCGGAAGACCAAGGGUUCCUGUCCAACGUUAAUCGGGGCAGGGUGAGUCGACCCCUAAGGCGAGGCCGAAAGGCGUAGUCGAUGGGAAACAGGUUAAUAUUCCUGUACUUGGUGUUACUGCGAAGGGGGGACGGAGAAGGCUAUGUUGGCCGGGCGACGGUUGUCCCGGUUUAAGCGUGUAGGCUGGUUUUCCAGGCAAAUCCGGAAAAUCAAGGCUGAGGCGUGAUGACGAGGCACUACGGUGCUGAAGCAACAAAUGCCCUGCUUCCAGGAAAAGCCUCUAAGCAUCAGGUAACAUCAAAUCGUACCCCAAACCGACACAGGUGGUCAGGUAGAGAAUACCAAGGCGCUUGAGAGAACUCGGGUGAAGGAACUAGGCAAAAUGGUGCCGUAACUUCGGGAGAAGGCACGCUGAUAUGUAGGUGAAGCGACUUGCUCGUGGAGCUGAAAUCAGUCGAAGAUACCAGCUGGCUGCAACUGUUUAUUAAAAACACAGCACUGUGCAAACACGAAAGUGGACGUAUACGGUGUGACGCCUGCCCGGUGCCGGAAGGUUAAUUGAUGGGGUCAGCGCAAGCGAAGCUCUUGAUCGAAGCCCCGGUAAACGGCGGCCGUAACUAUAACGGUCCUAAGGUAGCGAAAUUCCUUGUCGGGUAAGUUCCGACCUGCACGAAUGGCGUAAUGAUGGCCAGGCUGUCUCCACCCGAGACUCAGUGAAAUUGAACUCGCUGUGAAGAUGCAGUGUACCCGCGGCAAGACGGAAAGACCCCGUGAACCUUUACUAUAGCUUGACACUGAACAUUGAGCCUUGAUGUGUAGGAUAGGUGGGAGGCUUUGAAGUGUGG